GCAGUUUGGUUUGUGACUGGAGCAGGACGUGAGUGAGGUUUUAUAGAUCCAUAUGCCUGGCUGUUCUGAGCUUAUCAUCCCUGUGCUGAUGAGGCCAUUGCGGUCAGUGGGGCAGAGUGGAUGAGAAGAGGCUAGACGAGGUCCAGACAGCUCCCCAUCACACCCCGGCGUUAGGAGCACGCCUUUCUCCUCUUCCUUUAUCGGAUCAAAGUCUUCCAUCA
rnacentral:lncRNA from 1 species